rnacentral:rRNA from 1 species
ACGACUACACUCCUACGGGAGGCAGCAGUGGGGAAUAUUGGACAAUGGGCGAAAGCCUGAUCCAGCCAUGCCGCGUGUGUGUAGAAGGUCUUCGGAUUGUAAAGCACUUUAAGUUGGGAGGAAGGGCAUUAACCUAAUACGUUGGUGUCUUGACGUUACCGACAGAAUAAGCACCGGCUAACUCUGUGCCAGCAGCCGCGGUAAUACAGAAGGUGCAAGCGUUAAUCGGAAUUACUGGGCGUAAAGCGCGCGUAGGUGGUUUGUUAAGUUGAAUGUGAAAUCCCCGGGCUCAACCUGGGAACUGCAUCCAAAACUGGCUAGCUAGAGUAUGGUAGAGGGUAGUGGAAUUUCCUGUGUAGCGGUGAAAUGCGUAGAUAUAGGAAGGAACACCAGUGGCGAAGGCGACUACCUGGACUGAUACUGACACUGAGGUGCGAAAGCGUGGGGAGCAAACAGGAUUAGAUACCCGGGUAGUUCCACCAAUCC